GGAAUCUAGCUCAGUUGGUUGAGUGCUUGCUUCAUAUGCACAAGGUCCUGGAUUCAAUCCCCAGCACCA
rnacentral:tRNA from 1 species